rnacentral:rRNA from 1 species
UUGACAUGUCCGGAAUCCCGAAGAGAUUUGGGAGUGCUCGCAAGAGAACCGGAACACAGGUGCUGCAUGGCUGUCGUCAGCUCGUGUCGUGAGAUGUUGGGUUAAGUCCCGCAACGAGCGCAACCCUUGUCAUUAGUUGCCAUCAUUUGGUUGGGCACUCUAAUGAGACUGCCGGUGACAAACCGGAGGAAGGUGGGGAUGACGUCAAGUCCUCAUGGCCCUUAUGGGUAGGGCUUCACACGUCAUACAAUGGUCGGUACAGAGGGUUGCCAACCCGCGAGGGGGAGCUAAUCCCACAAAGCCGAUCGUAGUCCGGAUCGCAGUCUGCAACUCGACUGCGUGAAGUCGGAAUCGCUAGUAAUCGUGGAUCAGCAUGUCACGGUGAAUACGUUCCCGGGUCUU